GAUGAACGCUGGCGGCGUGCCUAAUACAUGCAAGUCGAGCGAACGGACGAGAAGCUUGCUUCUCUGAUGUUAGCGGCGGACGGGUGAGUAACACGUGGAUAACCUACCUAUAAGACUGGGAUAACUUCGUGAAACCGGUGCUAAUACCGGAUGAUAUUUUGAACCGCAUGGUUCAAAAGUGAAAGACGGUCUUGCUGUCACUUAUAGAUGGAUCCGCGCUGCAUUAGCUAGUUGGUAAGGUAACGGCUUACCAAGGCAACGAUGCAUAGCCGACCUGAGAGGGUGAUCGGCCACACUGGAACUGAGACACGGUCCAGACUCCUACGGGAGGCAGCAGUAGGGAAUCUUCCGCAAUGGGCGAAAGCCUGACGGAGCAACGCCGCGUGAGUGAUGAAGGUCUUCGGAUCGUAAAACUCUGUUAUUAGGGAAGAACAUAUGUGUAAGUAACUGUGCACAUCUUGACGGUACCUAAUCAGAAAGCCACGGCUAACUACGUG
rnacentral:rRNA from 1 species